GACAGAGGAUGCAAACGUUGCUCGGAAUUACUGGGCGUAAAGCGCAUGUAGGCGGCUUGGUAAGUCGGACGUGAAAGCCCGGGGCUCAACCCCGGAAGGGCGCUCGAUACUGCCGAACUUGGGUCCUGAAGAGGAGAGCGGAAUUCCCGGUGUAGAGGUGAAAUUCGUAGAUAUCGGGAGGAACACCAGUGGCGAAGGCGGCUCUCUGGGCAGGUACCGACGCUGAGAUGCGAAAGCGUGGGAAGCAAACAGG
rnacentral:rRNA from 1 species